rnacentral:rRNA from 1 species
UACAGAGGGGGCGAGCGUUAUUCGGAAUUAUUGGGCGUAAAGGGCGCGUAGGCGGCUUUUCAAGUGACGGGUGAAAUCCCUCGGCUUAACCGAGGAACUGCCUGUCAGACUGGAAGGCUUGAGACCGGGAGAGGUGAGUGGAAUUCCCAGUGUAGCGGUGAAAUGCGUAGAUAUUGGGAGGAACACCAGUGGCGAAGGCGGCUCACUGGACCGGAACUGACGCUGAGACGCGAAAGCGUGGGGAGCAAACAGG